CAUGUAUACAAAUGAGGGGGUGAUGAAUGCAUGGGUGUCAGAUUUGGAAGACUUUGGUUCAAGCCCCGUUUCAGUCAUUUCCUAGCUAUUGAUCUUGGUGAAAUCAUUUAACCACUCUAAGCUUCAGUUUUCCCAUCUGUUUAAAAUGUAUAAAAAUGUAUCCACUCAGAUGUUCAUACAACAAAUUUUAUUGUACACCAGGCAAGAGAUUAAGCACUAGAGAUAAAAAGAAAAAUAAGUUAUCACUGUUGAGAAGUAAGUCUACUAAAUAGAGAAAUAGUCUAGUAAAGGAGACAGGUAUAAAGCAUAUGUAUUUGAUAUAGUACGUAAUCAAUUCUAUUUUAAAGAUAUAAACAAAGCAUUAGUUGAGCUUAAAGGAUAGGGAGAUAACUUCUUGAGGAAGAUGAAAACAGUUAUUCAGAGUCAGUGAUGCUUGAGUUUUCUUACAUGACUAUGCUGAAUGGAUGGAAGCAGUAAGGGAGACAGGGAAAGAAAGAAUCUGGGAUGAAAAAAUGUCUAUUUUCUCAGGUCUCCAGUUUUUGUACAGCUAUGAAGAAAUACCCAAGACUGGGUAAUUUAUAAAGGAAAGGAAGUUUAAUGACUCACAGUUCCACAUGGCUGGGGAGGCCUCACAAUCAUGGCAGAAGACAAAGGAGGAGCAAAGGCACAUCUUACAUGGUGGCAGGCAAGACAGUGUAUGCAGGGGAACUGCCCUUUAUAAAACUAUCAGAUCUCAUGAGACUUAUUCACUAUCACGAGAACAGCACAGGAAAAUCCCAUCCCCAUGAUUCAAUUACCUCCCACUGGAUCCCUCUCACAACACUUGUGGAUUAGGGGAGCUACAAUUCAAGAUGAGAUUUGGGUGGGGACACAGCCAAGCCAUAUCACCAGUCUUGAAGGAGAAUGACAAAGUUCAGAGAGACUGGGGCAUGGUGGCAAGUGGAGGGAGAUAGUGACAGGGAUGAAGGCAUAGGCCACUUUUCAGCUGCUUAAUAUGCCAGGUUGAGAAAUUGGGAAUUUUUCCACAGGAAAGUGGGGAAAUGAGAUAAGUUAUUGCAACCAGGAUUAACACAAUCAGACAUUAAUUUUUCCUGAAAAAUAACAGACUUUUGCCACACUACUUAAUUUGAAGCAAUGACUGACUCUACUAGUCCUAAAGCAUAAGUUUAUGCAAAGCCCUCAUGAUGAAUUAGAAGUUGGUUGCAAAUAAGGUGAACAACUCAUGCCCUGGGACUUUCUCAGUUUUAGAAUUAAAAGUCCUUCUUUCUGGGAAUCUUCUCAGUCAUAGUCAAACUGUGAUUGCCAAGGACUCUCCAAGUUUGAGCACUGAAAGUCUUGAACUCUCCAAGUUUGAGCACUGAAAGUCUUGUGUCCCAGGAUCCUCUUCUGCUGAGUCCUGAGCAAACUGAGAUGGAUAAAUCACUCUAGUUCUGGUUGUAAAACUGGCAGUAGGAGUGAUGGGAACAGAUGGGCCCUGGCUGCAGUUCUGUGUCUGAGUCAAGCUGCUGUUAACUACAUGCACCAGUGGUGCUUUCCAUCGUCUUGGAAAACUGAAGGUGAAUACCUAGCAUGCAGUGCAGUUGGGAUUUAAACUGAGAUACUGGCCGGGCGCAGUGGUUCAUGCCU
rnacentral:lncRNA from 10 species